rnacentral:rRNA from 1 species
GAUGAACGCUGGCGGCGUGCUUAACACAUGCAAGUCGAACGGAAAGGCUCCUGCUUGCAGGGGUACUCGAGUGGCGAACGGGUGAGUAACACGUGGGUGAUCUGCCCUGCACUUCGGGAUAAGCCUGGGAAACUGGGUCUAAUACCGGAUAGGACGAUGGUUUGGAUGCCAUUGUGGAAAGUUUUUCGGUGGGGGAUGAGCUCGCGGCCUAUCAGCUUGUUGGUGGGGUAAUGGCCUACCAAGGCGUCGACGGGUAGCCGGCCUGAGAGGGUGUCCGGCCACAUUGGGACUGAGAUACGGCCCAGACUCCUACGGGAGGCAGCAGUGGGGAAUAUUGCACAAUGGGCGGAAGCCUGAUGCAGCGACGCCGCGUGCGGGAUGACGGCCUUCGGGUUGUAAACCCCUUUCGCUAGGGACGAAGCGCAAGUGACGGUACCUGGUGAAGAAGCACCGGCUAACUACGUG